rnacentral:SRP_RNA from 1 species
GCCGGGUGUGGUGCCUCACGCCUGUAAUCCCAGCACUUUGGGAGGCUGAGGCAGGUGGAUCACCAGAGGUCAGGAGUUCAAGACAAGCCUGGCCAACAUGGUGAAACCCUGUCUCUA